rnacentral:rRNA from 1 species
AUGUCUGGGCGCGACAAGGGCGGCAAGGGGCUGGGCAAGGGCGGCGCCAAGCGGCACCGGAAGGUCCUCCGCGACAACAUCCAGGGCAUCACCAAGCCGGCGAUCCGGAGGCUGGCCAGGAGGGGCGGCGUGAAGCGCAUCUCCGGCCUCAUCUACGAGGAGACCCGCGGCGUCCUCAAGAUCUUCCUCGAGAACGUCAUCCGCGACGCCGUCACCUACACCGAGCACGCCCGCCGCAAAACCGUCACCGCCAUGGACGUCGUCUACGCGCUCAAGCGCCAGGGCCGCACCCUCUACGGCUUCGGAGGCUAG